rnacentral:rRNA from 1 species
AGCGAACGCUGGCGGCAGGCCUAACACAUGCAAGUCGAACGAACCUUUCGGGGUUAGUGGCUGACGGGGGAGGAACACGUGGGAACGUGCCUUUAGGUUCGGAAUAACUCAGGGAAACUUGUGCUAAUACCGAAUGUGCCCUUCGGGGGAAAGAUUUAUCGCCCUUAGAGCGGCCCGCGUCUGAUCAGCUAGUUGGUUGAGGUAAUGGCUCACCAAGGCGACGAUCAGUAGCUGGUCUGAGAGGAUGAUCAGCCACAUUGGGACUGAGACACGGCCCAAACUCCUACGGGAGGCAGCAGUGGGGAAUCUUGCGCAAUGAGCGAAAGCCUGACGCAGCCAUGCCGCGUGAAUGAUGCAGGUCUUAGGAUUGUAAAAUUCUUUCACCGGGGACGAUAAUGACGGUACCCGGAGAAGAAGCCCCGGCGAACUUCGU